AAAAAAACACUAACAAAUCUUGGGCAAGACAUAUACAAACUGGAAGAAUAGGACACUGUUGGCAGAAACGUAAAACAAUUCAGUCACUGUGAAAACAAUUUUGUGGCUCC